UUCCUAGUGGCUCAGAUGGUAAAGAAUCUGCUUGCAAUGCAGGAGACCCAGGUUCAAUCCCUGGGUCGGGAU
rnacentral:tRNA from 1 species